GUCCGGUCUGGAUUGGGGUUUUGGAGCUCUGUGUCCUCUGGCUGCGAUGGCGAAUAGAUCUCCUUCAGAUGGGGAUGGAUGAGGCUGCAUGCAGAGCCCCUGCAGCACGGCUACAUCACCAUUUGUUUUCAUUACAACGGCGAAAACAACGGCGCCGGAUGGAGGGAGUGUAGCGAGGAGGACCACAGCGGAGGAGAGUGAGUCAUUAAUGCAGUGCAGCUAAAACUCGCUCCUGACUGUUUCUCAAACCUUCCUCUUCAUUUCUGAACCGUUGAUUUAUUUCUGUAUCGCGUAUAGACGACUGGGUCACAUGACCGCAUCUUAAAACAGGAGGAUGACGUAACCCCCUCCACGUCUCACAUGCAGACAGCUGAGAGUCCAUUUCUCCACCUUCUCUGUGAUUUCCCGCCAUCAUCCCGUCUCCGGAGCCUCCCGAGGGUCGGCGUCGGCGACAGCCCGUCCUCCUCGCCGUAAUGCGUUUUUGUCGUCUGUGGACAGGCUUUAUGAUAGAGUUUGAUCCUCCUGGGAGCGACCGCCUUUUCUUGUCCACAGGCAGACAGACACUUAAAAACAAGAGGAUCACAAACGACAAUUGUUUUAUUUUCAGGACGACGGCGCAGAAACACGUUCACGCCUUGAGCAGAGUGAUAUCCCCAAAGGUUCUUCAGUUUUUUCUGCGUAGAAAACUCUAAAAUAGAUCCUAUAAAAACAGGAUUUCGUCCUUGAUUACACCAGCUCUUCUGAAAGA